GUCUGGUUGGUAUAGUUGGUCAUCACUCUAGUCUCACUCACAAGAAAACUCCGGUUCGAACCAGGAAUCAUAUG